UACGAAGGGGGCUAGCGUUGUUCGGAAUUACUGGGCGUAAAGCGCACGUAGGCGGAUCGAUCAGUCAGGGGUGAAAUCCCAGGGCUCAACCCUGGAACUGCCUUUGAUACUGUCGAUCUGGAGUAUGGAAGAGGUGAGUGGAAUUCCGAGUGUAGAGGUGAAAUUCGUAGAUAUUCGCAAGAACACCAGUGGCGAAGGCGGCUCACUGGCCCGAUACUGACGCUGAGGCGCGAGAGCGUGGGGAGCAAACGG
rnacentral:rRNA from 1 species